AUGGCAAAGUGGGUGAUUAUUACUCUUUUCUUCACUGCUCAUGAGUUUGUGUGCUGGGGACGAGACAAAGUUGAACAAGCUUCAAGACAAAUGACUGCAAAUGAAGCAGCUCAAGUUACUCUGCUGUGCAAUUACUCUACCAGUUUUUCUAAUGCUUAUCUCUUCUGGUACAAACAGCUACCAAACAGAUCACCAACAUUCAUUCUGAGUGAAUUUACAGUCGGUAAAGGAACUACUGAGGAUGAAUUCAAAGAGAGAUUUUCUGCAACACUGGACUCCACAUCAAGAACAGUUCUAAUGAUGAUCGAGGAUGUGCGUGUGUCUGACUCGGCUGUGUACUACUGUGCUCUGCAGCCCACAGGAGGCAGCAUCCCUCAAGGUGUCUUUAAGGAGACGUGCCUCCAGACCUGA